rnacentral:rRNA from 1 species
CCGGUAAACGGCGGCCGUAACUAUAACGGUCCUAAGGUAGCGAAAUUCCUUGUCGGGUAAGUUCCGACCUGCACGAAUGGCGUAAUGAUGGCCAGGCUGUCUCCACCCGAGACUCAGUGAAAUUGAACUCGCUGUGAAGAUGCAGUGUACCCGCGGCAAGACGGAAAGACCCCGUGAACCUUUACUAUAGCUUGACACUGAACAUUGAGCCUUGAUGUGUAGGAUAGGUGGGAGGCUUUGAAGUGUGGACGCCAGUCUGCAUGGAGCCGACCUUGAAAUACCACCCUUUAAUGUUUGAUGUUCUAACGUUGGCCCCUGAUCGGGGUUGCGGACAGUGUCUGGUGGGUAGUUUGACUGGGGCGGUCUCCUCCUAAAGAGUAACGGAGGAGCACGAAGGUUGGCUAAUCCUGGUCGGACAUCAGGAGGUUAGUGCAAUGGCAUAAGCCAGCUUGACUGCGAGCGUGACGGCGCGAGCAGGUGCGAAAGCAGGUCAUAGUGAUCCGGUGGUUCUGAAUGGAAGGGCCAUCGCUCAACGGAUAAAAGGUACUCCGGGGAUAACAGGCUGAUACCGCCCAAGAGUUCAUAUCGACGGCGGUGUUUGGCACCUCGAUGUCGGCUCAUCACAUCCUGGGGCUGAAGUAGGUCCCAAGGGUAUGGCUGUUCGCCAUUUAAAGUGGUACGCGAGCUGGGUUUAGAACGUCGUGAGACAGUUCGGUCCCUAUCUGCCGUGGGCGCUGGAGAACUGAGGGGGGCUGCUCCUAGUACGAGAGGACCGGAGUGGACGCAUCACUGGUGUUCGGGUUGUCAUGCCAAUGGCACUGCCCGGUAGCUAAAUGCGGAAGAGAUAAGUGCUGAAAGCAUCUAAGCACGAAACUUGCC